AGGAGGCUGCGCGCCGUGGGCUGGCUCUGUGCAGGGAUCUACCGGCCGCUCCCCGCCGGGGCUCUGCUGGGGGAGGUCGGGGGAUCUCCCCCGUUGAGAAUCAGUUAAGAAGCGUGUGACGCGUCCCUCGGUGUAGAAAUGCGUUUGCUGAAAAAGGAUGGGAGCGAGAAAUUUACAUCUUGUCAAAAAAACAGCUGGAAGUUCCUGACUCCACAGACUUUGUCUCCUGAACCCCAGCUGGAGAUGAUUCUCAAAAGAGGAGGAAAAGAUAAAAAUGAGGAACAAACCCCCCCAAAGGAUCUCUCUCCCUUCAUCUCUACUACAGCAUCGACAACACUUGAAAACGGUCAAAAGAAGCAUCAUUAGACAGUGGAGGGAUCGUGGCUGAAAGAUUCAGCCAAUAAGACUGUUAGAACAUGUUGUGAGAGAAACCUUAUGCUUUGAAUUCACUUAACUGUUAAGUUAGGUGUUUUACCUUUUAUUUCUUUGUAACAAAUUCUUUUAUGCCUCAUUACUUGUAAUCACUUAAAAUCUAUGUUUCCAUAGUUAAA